UGGAAGCCUUCUCUCCCUCCUCUCCCCACCGCCCAGGGCUCCGUUUAAUGUCUCUAGAAAGGGCCGCCACCCCAGGCCGGGGUAGUUUACCCAUCAGGGAGGGGCGUAGACCCUCCGGCAGUUGUUUGGAGAGCACCCACACCCUUUCGUCGCCUGGAAGCACCGGAGAAUUGGAAUGUAAUCCAAGAAAUAAUUGCAAUGAAAAUACACAGAAGUGAAGGACAAUCUGGAAGAACAGAGGCAAAAAUCGUUAAUAAAGCAUAUCACAACUGGAAAGGCCUCCAGGAAUUGAUGCAGAGUGAAAGGAGCAGAACCAGGAGAACAUUGUACAAAGGGACUGAUACACUGUGGUACAAUCGAAUGUAAUGGACUUCUAUACUAGCAGUAAUACAAUGAUCCAGGACAAUUCUGAGGGACUUAUGAGAAAGAACGCUAUCCACAUGCAGAGGAAGAACUGUGGGAGCAGAAACACAGGAGAAAAACUGCUUGAUCACAUGAUUUGAUGGGGAUAUGAUUGGGGAUGUAGACUAAAUGAUCACUCUAGUGCAAAUAUCAAUAAUAUGGAAAUAGGUCUUGAUCAAUGACACAUGUAAAACCCAGUGGAGUUGUUUGUUGGCUAUGGGAAGGGGGUGGAAGGAAGGGAGGGAAAGAACAUGAAUGAUGUAACCAUGAAGAAAUAUUCUAAAUUA
rnacentral:lncRNA from 1 species